CCUACGGGUGGCAGCAGUGAGGAAUAUUGGUCAAUGGCCGUAAGGCUGAACCAGCCAAGUAGCGUGAGGGAAGACUGCACUAUGGGUUGUAAACCUCUUUUAUGCGGGGAUAAAGGUGUCCACGCGUGGACGUUUGCAGGUACCUCAUGAAUAAGGACCGGCUAAUUCCGUGCCAGCAGCCGCGGUAAUACGGAAGGUCCGGGCGUUAUCCGGAUUUAUUGGGUUUAAAGGGAGCGUAGGGCGGUCUUUAAGCGUGCCGUGAAAUGUUGGGGCUCAACCAUGAGAGUGCGGCGCGAACUGGAGAUCUUGAGUGGGCGGAAGGCAGGCGGAAUGCGUGGUGUAGCGGUGAAAUGCUUAGAUAUCGCGAAGAACCCCGAUUGCGAAGGCAGCCUGCCG
rnacentral:rRNA from 1 species